CAUAGAAACCUUAAACGAAGUCGUAUGAUAUCCCAACUAACGGUUUUCGAUCGUUUGAAUUUCCGUGAGACCCAACGUUUCGAUAACGCCAUCAGUAACUCCGAUGGGCCAAGGCCAUGAACCCCCGGAAUCCCCACCGGCCGCCCCACCAUUAUUCCGCCGCAUACACGACCUGGACAACGCCGUCUCCUUCUUCAUCUACACUCUCACACGCCCCAUCGCCCCAAAACCCCUUCUCCGAUACCUAGAGCUUUUGGCGGACUUCCGAUUCUUCUUCCCAGUCUCCCUCGCCCUCUUCCUCGCCGCCCCCUCCUCCUCCCCUCUCCGACCUAACCUCCUCCUUCCCCUCCUCGUCUGCUCCCUUAUUGAUCUCCUUUUCAUCGCCCUCAUCAAAUUCCUCGUCCGCCGAUCCCGCCCCUCCUACUCCAACCACUCCCAAUACAACGCCGUCGUCCCCGUCGAUAACUUCUCCUUCCCUAGCGGUCACUCUUCCAGGGUCUGCUUCGUCGCUUCCGUCUUCUCCCUCUCCCGCCCCUCGCUCCUCGCCGAUCUCCACCAUCCGCGUGUGGCCUUGCUCGUGAAUCGCUGGUUCGGCGGAGAUCAGGCCCUCGCCGUUGAUAUUCUCAUCUCGGCCGUUUGGGCUUGGGCCGUGACCACUGUAAUUUCUCGCGUCGCUCUCGGGAGGCAUUACGUUAUCGAUGUCUUCUUUGGCGCGUGCUUCGGAGUCCUCGAAGCGUUCUUCACCUUCCGCCUUCUCGAAUUCCGAGGGUUGCUUUGAGGUAAGAUUAAGAACCUGGAGCUGGGAUUUUCGAAAGUGAUAACCUUACUCCCUGGUGAAUGUGGAGUUUCAUAUCACUACUCACCGGUUAGAUGUACUUGCCGAUUAUUAUCAUUUUUUAUGAUAUUCUAUUUAUAAUGUUUACUUUCAGUGAUUAUGUUCGAUGACUGUAACCGAAUUAUGGAGAAAAGUUUUAUACGUGGCUUCUCCAGAAGAUUCAAAAUUCUAGUAUGAGAGUGAUUGAAGGACGCUAUAUCUGCUAUGUUUGGUUUCCCGUUCAGCUGCUUUGAAUGGAAGUUUUUGUUGCCAAACUUAGUUUGGUUCUGAUGGAGAAAUUCGAACUUAUGCUACCCGAGGGUAAGCGUUCUUAAUUGGUUUCUAACAGAUAAUGAAGUCGUGAUUGGUUUGAGUACAUUGGCAUCUUGCUCCUUACCAGAUAAUUUUGGAGACCUUAAUUACUUUAGUUUAUCUCAACUCUACUUCAAAUUUGUUAAAAUUACUUGGGAGUUGCAUUCCUGUCCGUAAUUUAUUCCUUGGCAUUUAAGUCUCUACACAGGCGUAUAAACAAUAAAUGUAAGCAUGUGAUAAUACAUGGUACAGCAGACCUGUACAUAAUUUAUUUGCAGCCUUUUGUCGUAUGUUUUAUCCAGAACUAUAUCAUACAUCGAAUUUGCUACUGCUGUCAGAUGUUUCUAAUUUUUGCAGAGGUACUGAUGCAAAGACAGAUUGUUCUGUAUCGUUUGAAGACUUGAAAUGGGUUAUCUUUUCUGACAAUUGCUGCCAGAAUAAGAAGUUGGCUUAUGUCUAGUCUAUCUCCGAUUCCCACUUUGCCCGUUCAGUUCAUUGGUGGAAUCCACUACAGCUUGAGGGACUUACGACGUACGCGAAGCACUGGGCGUCUGGUAUUUUGCCAAGUGAAUGCUUACUGCUCAAGAUUUGGAGUGACUGUAACUUUGUAUUUUGUGGGACAUGCUUUGAUAUUCUCCUUGCAUGAUUGAUUUCUUAGUAAUGAGAGACUGACUCUCCGCAGAACUUAAACAUUUUUAACGUUUUCUUGUAUGCCCACCGCGAUUGGAAUGUUA